UACAGCAUACGUAAGAAACAGCAGCCAACACACACGCCAAUCAGCAACAUACAUACAAGCAAAACACAACAUACAUACACACAAAUCAGCUACAUAUAUACAUGCAUAUAUAUUUCUGAUACAUACACUCCAUACAAAGUACACAUGAUUGAUUCAUUUUUGGGAGCCGUCUGGAUUGGAUGAGUUUCUUGACGUUUGAUGAAAGUCUGAAGACAGCGUGCAGCAACAGCGUAUGUAACAGCAGCGAACACACACAAACCAGCAACAUACACAUACACACAAGUCACCAACAUAUAUACACACAAGUCAGCAACAUGCAUACAAACAAGUCAGCCCCAGUUAGUGUUGGUGAUCGAGUUCCCCUUUCGUGGAAAGGAUGGAGUUACCUGGACCCCCCACUCCUGUGGACUCACCAACACGGUCCGGUUAAGGCAAUACAGCUUGCUAGUGUUGCCCCGUUACUGGCAUUUCAAUCGGAUUUCUGGGAAAGGCUGAGCUUGAUGGACGCUUCUCUUUUUUCACUCACACUAACACACACCUAGACACAUAUUUAUAGUGUAAGAUUUGGAGCACCAGUGUUGCCGGAACCUGUUAGGCACUAAUGUCCCAGACAGGUGGAUUUAGUCUGUCGUGGUACCUGCCAUUAGCGCUCAGUACUAAAUACCCUUAGUACCUCAGGACAGUCAGAGACAAGAAGUCCAAGUUCCAUAAAAAACCUGAUUAGUGUUCAAAAAGGCUUAAUAUACAUUUAUUGACUCAGAACGUUACAUAAAAUAUUGUACACAAAAUGUAGCCUUUUUUUUAACUUCCCCUCCCUGAUAGAAUUGUGUUGCUAGGCAGUGAUGUCAUAAUGAUGACUGCCAGGUGAUGUCAUAAUGCAGACUCUCAAUAACAGUGAGCCAACAUUCAUCUUUCACACAUCAGAGGAAGAUAACAUACAGCUACAGCAUAUGUAACGAACAGCAGCCAACACACACGCCAAUCAGCAACAUACAUACAAGCAAAACACAA